CCACUAACUCCGUUAAGCUUUCGGGUGCCUAACAAACCGUUACACUUGCUCGUAGAUGUACACUCUACAAGACUUCAACUUGCUCGAGGAUACCGCAGCUCAAGACUUAGGGUACUUAGCGAACCCUAAGUCUACAAGACUUAGGGUACACUCUACAAGACUUAGGGUACUUAGCGAACCCGACAAUCAAUGAGAAGAUAUGUUCUUCUCAA
rnacentral:lncRNA from 1 species